UCUGUAUCUUUAGGUAUUUAAAUAAAAGUAAACAAGCAAUUUGUACAUUUUCGGGUAGUUAUAACAUUUAUUGCUAGUUUUAUCCAGCGAUUGAUAAUAAACAUAGAUGACGAACUAGCUCUGUAAAAUGACCCCACACAUAUUGUGCCACGGUAGGUGGGGCGUAAAUAUUGUGCCACGGAGCUAUUUAGUUCGCAAAUGGCGGCCCGUUGUGACAGUCGUUGUAAGAAGUAUUUAGAUUAUUUCUUUAAGGAAAAAAUAUGCCUUAAUGUAAGGUUAAAUGAUGUGCUAGCCGUUCCAACAAAAACUGAAAA